rnacentral:misc_RNA from 1 species
AAAGUCGUAACAAGGUUUCCGUAGGUGAACCUGCGGAAGGAUCAUUACCGAUUCAGAGAAAUGUGCUGGCUCUUUCUAGGAGCAUUGUGCACUCUCAAACCUCUCUUCUAUUCACCUGUGCACAUUUGAUGGACAAAUAGGGAAAAGGUUAGCACCUUGACUCUUGGUCUAUCGCAUUUAUACACACCUUCAUAUAAACAUUCAUUUGAUUGCAAUAAAUUGUAACAACUUUCAACAAUGGAUCUCUUGGUUCUC